rnacentral:rRNA from 1 species
GUCUACUGCUAUGCCAUCCUGAAUGUGCCCGAUUUUGUCUGAUCUCGGAAGCUAAGCAGAGUCAGGCCUGGUUAGUACUUGGAUGGGAGACCACCUAGGAAGACCAGGUGCUGUAGGUG